UUAACACAUGCAAGUCGAACGGAAAGGCCCUUCGGGGUACUCGAGUGGCGAACGGGUGAGUAACACGUGGGUGAUCUGCCCUGCACUUUGGGAUAAGCCUGGGAAACUGGGUCUAAUACCGAAUAGGACUACGGCCUUCAUGGGUUGUGGUGGAAAGCUUUUGCGGUGUGGGAUGGGCCCGCGGCCUAUCAGCUUGUUGGUGGGGUAAUGGCCUACCAAGGCGACGACGGGUAGCCGGCCUGAGAGGGUGACCGGCCACACUGGGACUGAGAUACGGCCCAGACUCCUACGGGAGGCAGCAGUGGGGAAUAUUGCACAAUGGGCGCAAGCCUGAUGCAGCGACGCCGCGUGAGGGAUGACGGCCUUCGGGUUGUAAACCUCUUUCAGCAGGGACGAAGCGCAAGUGACGGUACCUGUAGAAGAAGGACCGGCCAACUACGUGCCAGCAGCCGCGGUAAUACGUAGGGUCCGAGCGUUGUCCGGAAUUACUGGGCGUAAAGAGCUCGUAGGUGGUUUGUCGCGUUGUUCGUGAAAACUCACAGCUCAACUGUGGGCGUGCGGGCGAUACGGGCAGACUUGAGUACUGCAGGGGAGACUGGAAUUCCUGGUGUAGCGGUGGAAUGCGCAGAUAUCAGGAGGAACACCGGUGGCGAAGGCGGGUCUCUGGGCAGUAACUGACGCUGAGGAGCGAAAGCGUGGGGAGCGAACAGGAUUAGAUACCCUGGUAGUCCACGCCGUAAACGGUGGGUACUAGGUGUGGGUUUCCUUCCUUGGGAUCCGUGCCGUAGCUAACGCAUUAAGUACCCCGCCUGGGGAGUACGGCCGCAAGGCU
rnacentral:rRNA from 1 species